AUGUCUUUCAUCUGCAUCUGCGUCUUGGCCGUCACUUUCUUCACCCAAGGGUGUACAGCAGCCAUUUUGGUGACCCAGACUCCAGAAUCACUGAUCAUUCAGCCGGGAGAUUCUGCCACCAUCAGCUGUAAAACCGGUUGCACCAUUGGUGAUGACUUAGCCUGGUACCAUCAGAAACCAGGAGGGCCUCCUAAAUUCAUCAUGACUUUUGAUGGUGGUUUUACUAAAGGUCGAUACCAAGGCAGUGGAUCAAAUUAUGAUUUCAAUCUGACCAUCAGUAACAUCCAGGCAGAGGAUGCAGGAGGUUAUUACUGUCAGCAGCAUUACACAGCACCAGUCACACAGUGA